rnacentral:tRNA from 1 species
CCCGUAGCUCAGCUGGAUAGAGUACUGCCCUCCGAAGGCAGGGGUCACAGGUUCGAAUCCUGUCGGGUGCGCCA